rnacentral:rRNA from 1 species
GUGCAGCAGUCGCGAAACUUUACAAUGUGCGAAAGCACGAUAAGGGAACUCUGAGUGCCUCCUAAGGAGGCUGUUCAGGUGUCUAAAAGCACCUGAAGGAAGGGCUGGGUAAGACCGGUGCCAGCCGCCGCGGUAACACCGGCAGCCCAAGUGGUAGCCACGUUUAUUGGGUCUAAAGCGUCCGUAGCCGGCUGGGUAAGUUCCUUGGGAAAUUUGGCUGCUUAACAGUCAAGCUUUCAGGGAAUACUGCCCGGCUUGGGACCGGGAGAGGUCAGAGGUACUCCAGGGGUAGGGGUGAAAUCCAUUAAUCCUUGGGGGACCACCGGUAGCGAAGGCGUCUGACCAGACCGGGUCCGACGGUGAGGGACGAAGGCUAGGGGCGCGAACCGGAUUAGAUACCCGUGUAGU